AGGAGGCGCUAACCCAUAGACUGGCAAUCCUCCUCCCCAUCAGAGUUCCUGGGAAGGCCGAGAGGUUUGAACCGACCCCGUGGGCUCCCUUGGCCAUGCAAAACCUGACAGAGAUGGCGUUUACAAGUUCCUUACUGAAAAGAGUUUGCAGGAUGGGAAGAAUGCCUGGGCCUGAAAAAGACCGAUUUCUUCAAAAAACCAUGAGAACUGCAUCUGAGGCAGAAUACCUUGCCCUGGGACUAAGAUCAAGAAAGGAAACCUCCAAGCUUUUCUCAGAGCAAGUGAAAAUAAAAUUUUGAGUGAAGUCUUCA